UACGGAGGGUGCAAGCGUUAAUCGGAAUUACUGGGCGUAAAGCGUGCGCAGGCGGUUUGUUAAGUCCGUUGUGAAAGCCCCGAGCUCAACUUGGGAAUUGCAGUGGAUACUGGCAGGCUGGAGUACGGUAGAGGAAGGUGGAAUUCCCGGUGUAGCAGUGAAAUGCGUAGAUAUCGGGAGGAACACCAGUGGCGAAAGCGGCUCACUGGACCAUAACUGACGCUGAGGCGCGAAAGCUAGGGGAGCAAACAGG
rnacentral:rRNA from 1 species